ACCUCAGGUGAGGAUUUUUUUUAAAAAGUGCUUUGUCAUAGCUGAUUACAUAAGCAUCAUUUAGAAAUAUGACAUUCCAAGUAAGGCCCUGGUUACACUAUCAAUUUGUUCAAUUAUAUUAUAUCUUGGUUAAAAAAAGACAGUGAGAGGUUCAGAGCAGGAUCCCCACGCUGUGCCACUUGGGCAUGUGCUUCAUUUUGAGCUGCAGGCAAUUGAGACCCUGCAAACUCCUGAGAAACUUUUACUGCUCCCUGAAAUUUGGGGCUUUGACCAUAAUAAGUUAUCACCAGAGAUAACUUCUUGUGAUCCAUCUGUAUAGUGGGGCAAAUAUCUAACUAGUGAACAUCUGUUCUCAUGUUGUGAAUGACCUUCCUCCUCUCUUACCUCAUCCGUGACUCAGAAAGCCAUGUUACACUCAUUCUCCCCUUAUGUCUCUAAACCUGUCACGUAUGUAGGGUUUCCAUAUGUACAUAUAUAAUUAGAUUUGGUUAUUUUCUCUUGUUAAUCUGUCUCAUGUAGAUUUAAUGACCAGACAAGACUAAAGAAGCUUGGAGGGUACAGGAAAGUUUCACCCUCCCCUACAGUUGGUGCUGUGAGCAGGACACCUCACAGGCCAGGCACUGCUCAGCUGGAGGCUGCUACAAUAGAAAGAUCUUGGGACCUCUAGCAUGAGCCAGCAAGAGUAAGAAUUCUUGCCAAGGCAGACUCCCGGAUCUCUACCUGCAGAGUUUAGUAGAUGCCUCUUAUUAAGUGCCUGACUGCCUGCAAACUUUGCGAACCCACCUGCAUCACCACCUCCUGAAAUGAGACAUAGAGCGAUUUACUGACCCAGCUUCUGGAAUGUGAAAUUUCCAGGGAAGUUUCAGAGGUAGGAACUUCCUUAUGACCUUAUAUAUAGAAAAGCCCAAGGAACCCACUAGGGGUUCAGAGCAAGUCACCCCAAUAUGUGCCACUUGGUAUAUAAAUUAUUUUGAAUUGAAGGCAAUGAAACCCUGCAGGCUCAGGAGAAACUUUGACCUCUUCCUUAAAGAAUUUUAAAUUAGGAGAUUUACCCAUAAGAGUUAUCACCAGAGAUAGCCUUUUAGGACCUAUUUACAGGGCAGGGCAAGCUUCUAAUACCAAACAUCUGUUCUUCUUAUCACCCUGCAGUGACUUUCCUCCCCUCUGAAUCCCCAAGGUGCCUUACCUCUCAUCCGUGGCUCAGAAUACCAUAUAUACUUCAUUUCCCCCUUAUGUCUCUGAACCUCUCGCUAUGUGGUGGGGUUCCCAUACGUACAUAUACAAUUAAAUUUGGUUAUUUUCUCUUGUU